UACAGAGGGGGCAAGCGUUAUUCGGAAUUAUUGGGCGUAAAGGGCGCGUAGGCGGUCUCUCAAGUGGAUGGUGAAAUCCCCGGGCUUAACCUGGGAACUGCCGUCCAAACUGAGCGACUUGAGUCCGGGAGAGGUAAGUGGAAUUCCCAGUGUAGCGGUGAAAUGCGUAGAUAUUGGGAGGAACACCAGUGGCGAAGGCGGCGAUCUGGGUGGAUACUGACGCUGAGGUGCGAAAGCGUGGGGAGCAAACAGG
rnacentral:rRNA from 1 species